rnacentral:lncRNA from 1 species
CGCAGGGAUAGCUGGUGUGCGUGCAGCGGAAGGCGCUAACUGCCCUGGAUGUGGAGACCCGCGGACUGGACGUGAGAGGCGGGCAGGGGCAGUUGGGGCAGCUGCCCCUACAACACUGAAGAAUUGGAAUAGGAAAGAGUGUGGGGGUAGGGGACGGGGACUCUUUGUCUGCAGUUGGAAUGCGCGGAGGGGCAUGGUGGAAUGUGUCGCGUCCCGGGACCGGACGACAGGAGGCAUGUUCUGCGCUAGCACCGUGACUUUGUUCCCAGCGUGGGGACUGUGGGAGAGAUGGAGAGAGACUGGUACAGAAAUGGUGAGACAAGGAGAGAGCCAUAAAGAGGAAGACAGAGAGAAAGAAGACAAAUGCAUAAAGAGGUUCAGAGACGUGUACGUAAAGAUAGCCCUGAAAGGCGACGAAGCCCACAGAGAGAGGUGGAAGAGGGAAGAGGUAGCGAAAGAAAGGGAGAGCUGAGGAGCAAAGAGGAGUGUGGACGAUGCAGAGACCGAAGGGUGCGCAGACAAAGGAAAGGACAAGCUUGUCCAGAGAGAAUGAGAGACAAACAGAUAAACUGCAAUAAAAAGGCACCACCUUCUGGACCCAAAAGUUUUGUGAUUUGUAAAAGCAGUGAAAAGGAGUCAGGAAAAUGGGACUAAUCUCUACUUUGAGAGGGAGGGAAAGAGAUAUAGUGUGUAUGUAGAAGCAGUGAAAAGGAGUGAGGAAAAGGUUUGGGACUAAUCUCUACCUUAAGGGUAGGACAGUUAGAGGGAUAGACACCCCCUGGUGUUGGGAAAUGAGAUUUUUCUCAUUUCAGGUGACUGUGGAGAUCGAAGGCCUGGUUUUAGGGCUAGCGAACACCUUCUCCCUUUGGUUUUGGUCCACAGAAGACUGGUGAUACAGACUCCUUAUCAGUGUAAUUGUGGGGACUGGUCACCAGCUCUUGCUUGAGCUUUUCCAGAAGAAACUUCACUACUGAAAUAUUCCAAGAGGACUUGAUGCUGCCACAAAGAGAAGAGAAUGAAUAAAGUUGUCGGCUUUGUAAGAGCCAGACAAACAGAGAUACCCAGCACUAAUCAACUUUGUGGCAAAUCCCUCCACAGCCUAAGAAGGAUCCCUAGCAGCAAUCCUCAAGAGCCUCAGCAGAUUGGAGAGAUGCCUCUUUGAUUCUGUCCCAGAGCUAAAGAUUGGAAUAACUGUCCCUCCCCCUCUAAACCCACAGUCUGCCACAAGAACAUUUUAAACCUUCCUCCAUGAUGGGCAGCAGAACUCCCUGACUAGUCCUCCAGAUCCUUCUCAAGCACAGAAUAGAGAGAGCAUGAUGGUGAGUGAGGAUACUGUCCUUCCUGCAGGUCUUCAGUUCCACCACACUCUCCUAAGGGAAGGAAGAAGCCAGGCCUCAAUGCUGUACCUCUCUCUGGAGGCAGCAGGCACAAGUGGAAUGGAAGUGAUGGAAAAUCCUGCUUUUAUGCAAAUUGUAACUAUAAACUCAUUAUAGUCAAUAUGAACAUUGUAUGGCUAAAGAAUAUCUCCAGCCAGGCAUGGUGGCUCACGCCUGUAAUCCCAACACUUUGGGAGGCCGAGGUGGGUGAAUUGCCU